AAUGUUCUUGUGGUUGCAACUUCCAACCCAUGAUGUAGAAAUCUCAUUUGAGCCAGCCUAGAGGAAACAACUCAAGCCCUUCAAUUAUUAGUGAGAAUUUUUACAGCUUUAAGUGCAAUACUAUCUGGUCGAACACAAACACUUCUGGCCUACGUAGAGAAAUCCUUUCAAACUGAAACAGUUUCAAACCAAGUCAUCAUUCAGCUAGUUAGCAUUCUUUUCUGCUGACAGAAUUCCUUGACUAUAACCUUUCUUGAGAAAGGAACUUAGAACUACAAAUCCAGGGUUACUCAGAAAUAUUACACAUUAAAGAGGAUUCAGAGUUCCCCUUGCAUCUAAAUG
rnacentral:lncRNA from 1 species